rnacentral:lncRNA from 1 species
UGAACUGGAGCGAUGUGACGUGUCUGCAUUUUAGGAACAUGCUUCGGGCCCAGGGAAAAGACUGGAUGGGGAGGUUGAGGAUGGUCCCCAGUGGCUGCUUGGGGUGGCCGGGAGGGCGGGAGAGAUUUGCAGGUGGCUGGGUUAGUUGGGUUUGGAAACUAGAGCAGGAGGGAGCGGAAGAGUGACAGAUGCUGUGGAUUUCACAGUGGAGGCUCUGAGAAACUUCACAGGAGAGACAUGGAGUUUGUGCUCGGGUGCAUCUGAGGUGCUCCUGGGAUGUCCGAAGGCCGGUAACAGAAGGCAACAGUGAUCUUCUGCACGAAGCCUGCUCCGUGGGAUGAAGAGAGGGAACAUGUUCUCCCGGGGCGACAAGAUCCAGGUUCCUGGAGGGAGGAGGAGCUCUUCUGGGCCGGGCAGCAGCCCACCCUUGCCAGGAGCUCUGUUUGUUACCGGGCAUCCUCCCCUCUCCCACGCAUCCUGCGGAGGGACCACCCUUCUCCAAAGCCCGUCUGUACCCCGUCUCUGCUGAGGAGAUGUGCAGGCGCCUUCAGUGAGAACAGCCUCCUCCUUCUCUGCCUCAGCAGCACCCAGGCAGGAGGACCUCCCCACACCACGCUGCUUCACGCUGGUACUCGCUUCCCUCCGGGAGUGACUGUGAGUUCCCUGUCCGUGCCUCUGGGAACGUGUGACAGCAUCUCAAUGGCUUUGAUCUCACAAACGUUGUGGUCUCAUCUAUC